UACUUAGGUGGCAAGCGUUGUCCGGAUUUACUGGGCGUAAAGAGCGCGCAGGCGGUCGAAUCAGUCGAAUGUGAAAGCCCCCGGCUCACCCGUGGAGGGUCAUUGGAAACUGGGGGACUUGAGUGCAGAAGAGGAAAGCGGAAUUCCACGUGUAGCGGUGAAAUGCGUAGAGAUGUGGAGGAACACCAGUGGCGAAGGCGGCUUUCUGGUCUGUAACUGACGCUGAGGCGCGAAAGCGUGGGGAGCAAACAGG
rnacentral:rRNA from 1 species